GCCGGGUAUGUUGGCACAUGCCUGUAAUCCUAGUGACUUGGGAGGUGAGGAGGGAGGAUCACAAAUUCAAGGCCAGCCUCAGCAACUUAGUGAGGUUCUAAGCAAUUUAGUGAGAUCCUGUCUCAA
rnacentral:sRNA from 1 species